UACGGAGGGUGCAAGCGUUGCUCGGAAUUAUUGGGCGUAAAGGGUAGGUAGGUGGUCUCAUUUGUCUGGGGUGAAAGCCUUGAGCUUAACUCAAGAAGUGCCCCAGAAACGGUGAGACUAGAGUCUUGGAGAGGGUCGUGGAAUUCCCGGUGUAGCGGUGAAAUGCGUAGAGAUCGGGAGGAACACCUGUGGCGAAGGCGGCUUUCUGGGCCUUACCUGACGCUGAGACGCGAAAGCGUGGGGAGCGAACCGG
rnacentral:rRNA from 1 species